GUAGGUGGCAAGCGUUGUCCGGGAAUUAUUGGGGGCGUAAAAGCGCGCGCAGGCGGUUCUUUAAGUCUGAUGUGAAAGCCCACGGGCUCAACCGUGGAGGGUCAUUGGAAACUGGAGAACUUGAGUACAGAAGAGGAAAGCGGAAUUCCACGUGUAGCGGUGAAAUGCGUAGAGAUGUGGAGGAACACCAGUGGCGAAGGCGGCUUUCUGGUCUGUAACUGACGCUGAGGCGCGAAAGCGUGGGGAGCAAACAGGAUUAGAUACCCUGGUAGUCCACGCCGUAAACGAUGAGUGCUAAGUGUUAGGGGGUUUCCGCCCCUUAGUGCUGCAGCUAACGCAUUAAGCACUCCGCCUGGGGAGUACGGCCGCAAAGGCUGA
rnacentral:rRNA from 1 species